rnacentral:pre_miRNA from 14 species
UAUUGAACUGAAAGGCCCCCGGAGUGGGGAGACCCUCACUCAAGUCUCGGGAUGACGCAACCCCCCAAGAACUCACACAAGACC